rnacentral:rRNA from 1 species
CGGCGAACGGGUUAGUAACGCGUGGGAACGUGCCCUUUAGUACGGAAUAGCCAUUGGAAACGAUGAUUAAUACCGUAUACGCCCCAAGGGGGAAAGAUUUAUCGCUAAAGGAUCGGCCCGCGUUAGAUUAGGUAGUUGGUAGGGUAAUGGCCUACCAAGCCGACGAUCUAUAGCUGGUUUGAGAGGAUGAUCAGCAACACUGGGACUGAGACACGGCCCAGACUUCUACGGAAUGCAGCAGUAGGGAAUCUUGGACAAUGGGCGAAAGCCUGAUCCAGCCAUGCCGCGUGAGUGAUGAAGGCCCUAGGGUUGUAAAGCUCUUUCGCCAGGGAAGAUAAUGACGGUACCGGUAAAGAAACCCCGGCUAA